rnacentral:lncRNA from 1 species
AUAAAUUAUCUGACCAAUUUUAUUGCUAAACCUUUGUUCACAUAAUUAAAUAUCUUGUCAUUUAGGAAUUUGACAGUUAACCAGAAGAUUUUUUACAGGGAGCUUUAGAGGAUACAAAACAGAAUGUUGGGUGGCCGUGAUGGUAAGAUACGGUGGCCUGUAAGAACUGUGUUACUCUCACCUCUCUUCAUCUAGACUAGAUUGUGAACUAAUGUUUGUCUGUGUCAUGAUUUAAAGUCUGGGAGUCUUCAGGCUGUAUGGCAGAGGAUGUGCUUGAGGACAAUAAAGACACAAAUGGAUUCUCUGAGCAUGAACUCCUUGACAUCAUGUAUGACACCUGUAAAACUAACAACUCAGAAGUGUUGGCCUCUGCCAUCAUACGACACCUGCAGAGCCUGAUAGAAGAGAGUGCAGAGCAGGAAAAACUUUCUGCCCUCCGAGUCCUGCUUGACCCGCACCACCAGGACCCAGAGGUGAGCAGAGAGACGUUUCAUUCCACCAUGACGGAAUGGAUCGCACAGUGCAGUCACAACAGGUAAAACACAGGAUAUAUUUUAUGAUUAGAAGUGUUGUAUAAUCUGAAUAUU